AGCGAACGCUGGCGGCAGGCCUAACACAUGCAAGUCGAACGAACCUUUCGGGGUUAGUGGCGGACGGGUGAGUAACACGUGGGAAGGUGCCUUUAGGCUCGGAAUAACACAGGGAAACUUGUGCUAAUACCGAAAGAGUCCUUCGGGGGAAAGAUUGAUCGUCUUUAGAGGGGCCGGCGUCGGAUUAGCUAGUUGGUUGAGGUAAUGGCGCACCAGGGCGACGAACGGUAGAUGGUCUGUGAGGAAGAGCAGAGACAUUGGGAGGAGGACACGGCCCAGAAUCCUAGGGGAGGCAGCAGUGGGGGAUCUUGCGCAACCGGGGAAAUGCAGACGCCGCCAGGCUGGGUGAAUGAUGAAGGUCGUAGAAAAGUACAAUUCUUUAACCCGGGACGAUAAUGACGGUACCCGGAGAAGAAGCCCCGGCUAACUUCGUG
rnacentral:rRNA from 1 species